UGGUUCUGGCAUCGAUGAAGAACGCAGCGAAGUGCGAUACGUAGUGUGAAUUGCAGAAUUCCGUGAAUCAUCGAAUUUUUGAACGCAUAUUGCGCCUGCUGGUAUUCCGACAGGCAUGCCUGUUCGAGCGUCAUGAGCAUUUUCAAGCGCAGCUUGGUGUUGGGCGGCCGCUGUGUGACGGCGCUGCCUCAAAGGCAAGAAAGGAGUCUGGCCGGCCGUUUCCGGAGCGCAGCACAUGCGCAGAGGAAAGGGGAUGGGGCAGACGGUGUGACGACGAGCUUGACCUCGGAUCAGGCAAGGAUACCCGCUGA
rnacentral:misc_RNA from 1 species